CGGGGUGAGUAACGCGUGGGUAACCUGCCUCAUACAGGGGGAUAACAGUUAGAAAUGACUGCUAAUACCGCAUAAGCGCACAGUAUCGCAUGAUACAGUGUGAAAAACUCCGGUGGUACAAGAUGGACCCGCGUCUGAUUAGCUAGUUGGUAAGGUAACGGCUUACCAAGGCGACGAUCAGUAGCCGACCUGAGAGGGUGACCGGCCACAUUGGGACUGAGACACGGCCCAA
rnacentral:rRNA from 1 species